AUACAGAGGGUGCAAACGUUGUUCGGAAUUACUGGGCAUAAAGCGCGCGUAGGCGGUCAGGUAAGUGUGAAGUGAAAUCCCACGGCUCACCCGUGGAACUGCUUUGCAUACUGCUUGACUAGAGGAAGGUAGGGGAGAGCAGAACUCUUGGAGGAGCGGUGAAAUGCGUAGAUAUCAAGAGGAAUACCAGUGGCGAAGGCGGCUCUCUGGUCCUUUACUGACGCUGAGGUGCGAAAGCUAGGGUAGCGAACGGGAUUAGAAACCCCAGUAGUCC
rnacentral:rRNA from 1 species